rnacentral:rRNA from 1 species
GAGCACGUAGGUGGGUUUGUCGCGUCGUCUGUGAAAUUCCGGGGCUUAACUCCGGGCGUGCAGGCGAUACGGGCAUAACUUGAGUACUGUAGGGGUAACUGGAAUUCCUGGUGUAGCGGUGAAAUGCGCAGAUAUCAGGAGGAACACCGAUGGCGAAGGCAGGUUACUGGGCAGUUACUGACGCUGAGGAGCGAAAGCAUGGGUAGCGAACAGGAUUAGAUACCCUGGUAGUCCAUGCCGUAAACGGUGGGCACUAAGUAGAGGGG